rnacentral:misc_RNA from 1 species
ACGUCAUCCCCACCUUCCUCCGGUUUGACACCGGCAGUCUCCCAUGAGUCCCCGACAUUACUCGCUGGCAACAUAGGAUAAGGGUUGCGCUCGUUGCGGGACUUAACCCAACACCUCACGGCACGAGCUGACGACAACCAUGCACCACCUGUAUAGGACGCCGAAGCACACCGUGUUUCCACGGCUUUUCCCUAUAUUUCAAGCCCUGGUAAGGUUCUUCGCGUUGCUUCGAAUUAAGCCACAUGCUCCGCCGCUUGUGCGGGCCCCCGUCAAUUCCUUUGAGUUUUAGCCUUGCGGCCGUAGUCCCCAGGCGGGGUGCUUAAUGCGUUAGCUGCGGCACGGAAGAAGUGGAUUAUCUCCCACACCUAGCACCCAUCGUUUACGGCGUGGACUACCAGGG